CAGUCUUCCCCAACCACUGCCUCUGCAAUUUCUUCUUCAUUCCCAUCCAAGCUCCAGAUCCAUGGCCUGCUCUGCUUCUUCGCAGUCGGGUGCUAACGGAGGCUUCGAAGCUCCCAAAGGAAACGGAGGCUUCGGAGCUACCGGAGGAAACGGAGGCCCCGGGGGUCAUGGAGGUCCAGGAGCCAAUGUCAACAACCCUCUGCCGCUCAUCCGAUGCCCAUUUCGCGGCAGCUGAAUCUCAACAGCCAUCUCGCGCAAAGGAACUCCUCCCGGCAAUAGAUACUAUAGGUGCCGAUUUUCAGUUCUGAAAAGUACCCGUUCUUCGAGUGGAGGAGGGAUAUGCAGAGUCAGUGCCGAUGUCGCGCAAGCUCAGCAUAGCGCACCCCAAGUAGCAGCUCCACCUGCUGAGGCUUAAUCUACUCAUCAGCGUCACCAACCCACUUGCAAACCAUCCUCGUUUUGGCAGUUGUUCAUACUCAUGUGAGCAAGCCGCAACUGAUGUUCUGCCUCCUACUGUACGGCGACUAGGAAAUUAAUUACCAGAUCAUGUAAGCCAGACCGUAGCAGUGUGUGUCAGCAACUUUGUGUUGCAUAUAUGAAAUUAAUUAGCACGUUCCACGCGUCCA